AGAGUUUGAUCCUGGCUCAGGAUGAACGCUAGCGGCAGGCUUAACACAUGCAAGUCGAGGGGUAACAGGGGUGCUUGCACUCGCUGACGACCGGCGCACGGGUGAGUAACGCGUAUGCAACCUACCCAUAACUGGGGGAUAGCUUCCGGAAACGGAAAUUAAUACCCCAUAGUAUUAUAAUACCGCAUGGUAUAUUAAUUAAAGUUCCGACGGUUAUGGAUGGGCAUGCGUGCCAUUAGCUAGUUGGUGAGGUAACGGCUCACCAAGGCAACGAUGGCUAGGGGGUCUUAAAGGAUGGUCCCCCACACUGGUACUGAGACACGGACCAGACUCCUACGGGAGGCAGCAGUGAGGAAUAUUGGUCAAUGGGCGCAAGCCUGAACCAGCCAUGCCGCGUGCAGGAAGACGGCCCUAUGGGUUGUAAACUGCUUUUAUAUGGGAAGAAAACGUGAUACGUGUAUUGCAUUGACGGUACCAUAAGAAUAAGCAUCGGCUAACUCCGUGCCAGCAGCCGCGGUAAUACGGAGGAUGCAAGCGUUAUCCGGAUUUAUUAGGUUUAAAGGGUGUGUAGGCGGGACUCUAAGUCAGUGGUGAAAUCUUUCGGCUUAACCGAAAAACUGCCAUUGAUACUGGAGUUCUUGAGUAUAGUUGAGGUAGGCGGAAUGUGUAAUGUAGCGGUGAAAUGCUUAGAUAUUACACAGAACACCGAUUGCGAAGGCAGCUUACUAAGCUAUUACUGACGCUGAUGCACGAAAGCGUGGGUAGCGAACAGGAUUAGAUACCCUGGUAGUCCACGCCGUAAACGAUGAUUACUCGUUGUUGGCGA
rnacentral:rRNA from 1 species